CCUCAUAGUCUCUGCAUAAGCAGAGACUAUGAGGGCUUUCUUUCUGUCUUCAACCAGGAUCUGCUCGUG
rfam:Serratia symbiotica str. Tucson scaffold00216_3, whole genome shotgun sequence.